UGUUUUAAAUCAAAAAGCAGGCAAAUAAUUUCAUAAGCUCAUAUCCACCUGCGUAAGAAGCCAUGUAAUAAUAUUUUCAUAAAACGAAAACAAUACUCAAUACAUGGAGUAGUUUAUUGUGUUUAUUAUGGUUUGUUCAAAUAACUUACAAAGUGUUGAAUGAUACUGCUGUGUCAGACCGCGUGACGUGUCGCAAUAAACAAGUUCAUUAAAAAUUGCUGUUUAAAAAAAGCUCACACCAGAGGGACAGUUGUGACAUUUUAAACCAGCCCCUGAAAAGUUAAAAACACGACGUCUUGGUAAAUUCCAUGUACAAACACUUGGCUGACUUUCCUAUUGUAAAGAUACUGGUAUGUCUCUGUGCUUUUAUAUUUGCUCAUUGUCACCUCCAAUCAACAACACGAAAUGAUCGAAUAUAUCUUCAUACAUCAAGCCACUUAAUUUUGCCCUCACACUGGUUCAUACAUGGCAGGUGUAAUAAAUAUUAACUGUUUAAAUUAUGUUUUAUGCGUGCUUCCUGCCCCUCUACCGGCUGGCAAUUAAAAGGGAAGUCUCGGACCGGAGAGGAAAUACGUCACAUCACUUACUUUCGCAUUGGAGAAACAGGUGGAUCCCAGCAGUGUUAAUUUAACACUGGAAGUUUUACUCUACAGGGGAAAGCAAAGUAAAUCGUCAUAUAGCGACCGGAGAUCAGCAGGUGUUUUCAAAUGUAAGUAGCUAUUACAAACAAAUAACGUGAUUCCUUCUGUUAUAAUCGCAUUUGUUGACCUACUGAAUAGUAAAUUGGACAAUUUUGUAGGUGUCAAGACAGAACUAUAGUAUAUUUGUGAUUUUGAUGUAAAACACGUUUUAUUAUUUAUAGCUAACAGUGGAGCUCCAUUAAAUUGACACUUAGUUUUUCAACCUUCAUAAUAUAUUUUCAAGACCCUUAUAGUACAUCGACUUAAAAUAGGUUGAAUGGCAUGUCUACCAUAGCCUGACGGGGUCUAUUCGUACUUUUAAACUUGGGGUUUCGGGUAGUAACCCGAGCACAAAAAGAACUGCAAAAUUCGACUGCUUUACGGCAUACGUCACUUUCUUCACUUCAUCAAAAGCGGACGUAAGAGUGCAACUAUUUAUUUUCCUGAUGUUUUUUUAUUGCCAAAGCAGCAACAAAGAAAAAGAAAAUGGGAGAGUAACAGAAUUAAUGGAAGGAUGAGGAUAAAUAUUGGGCCAGAGGAGGAGGGGUUCCUGACGGACGCUGACUCAGCUGUCAUGCUUCAAGUCAUCAACAGUGAGGUCGAGGUGUAGAGCUGCCGGGACACUGUACUUCUCAUCAGCAUCAGUCAGCAGAACUGUGGCACCUCCAUCUCCCUGCAAGACCGCGAUGAUGGUGACCUCCACCUCUACUGGCUCAGCUACAGCCUUCUGUAAUUUGAAUAGGUGGAGGUAUUAAAUUUGGCCUGAGGUCUGACAGUCGCCCUGAGAAAGGAAAUCUCAACACGAUCCCCCAGGCUGAGCUCGAUCAGGGCCUCGUCACGCCACAAGGACACCUCCAACACCCUCUGGCCACACCGGAGAAACAGGUCUCUAAUGGGAACCUCUCCUUCAGCCACUCGGGUCAUCCUGGGGAGAUGUAUCCUCCCCUUGUGAAGAGGUCCUCCUCUUCCCCAGACAUCAGGACAGUUGGUGGGUUGAUGAGGUGUCUGGCAGAUCCUUCUGCUGCUUCUGGCAACUCAAAGGGAGCUGUUUGAAAUUUUUUGGAUUUGGGGUUGAGGAAGAU